rnacentral:rRNA from 1 species
AUUGAACGCUGGCGGCAGGCCUAACACAUGCAAGUCGAGCGGGGUUUUCGGACCUAGCGGCGGACGGGUGAGUAAUGCGUAGGAAGCUACCCGAUAGAGGGGGAUACCAGUUGGAAACGACUGUUAACACCGCAUAAUGUCUACGGACCAAAGUGUGGGACCUUCGGGCCACAUGCUAUCGGAUGCGCCUACGUGGGAUUAGCUAGUUGGUGGGGUAAUGGCUCACCAAGGCGACGAUCCCUAGCUGGUUUGAGAGGAUGAUCAGCCACACUGGAGCUGAGACACGGUCCAGACUCCUACGGGAGGCAGCAGUGGGGAAUAUUGGACAAUGGGCGCAAGCCUGAUCCAGCCAUGCCGCGUGUGUGAAGAAGGCCUUCGGGUUGUAAAGCACUUUCAGUAGGGAGGAAGGGUGUUGUGUUAAUAGCACAGCAUUUUGACGUUACCUACAGAAGAAGCACCGGCUAACUCUGUGCCAGCAGCCGCAGUAACAC